AAGAAAAAAGACACCAAAUUUUCUCAAACGUCCAAACAUGGAGCACGGUCAUGAUCGUCGUUUUCUCACCCUCAGUUUCUGUAUUAGCUUUAUCCCAUUCCUAUUUUCCUCCUACGCUUCUCCCUUCUCCAACCCACCCCUCCUGGGAAUCCACCCUCUCGAUGAGAAAUACUUUCAGCCUGAGGUGAUCAAAUGCAAGGACGGGUCAAAAUCCUUCACCAGAGACCGUGUCAAUGACGAUUUCUGUGACUGCCUUGACGGGACUGACGAGCCCGGAACAUCAGCCUGUCCAGCGGGGAAAUUUUACUGUAGGAAUGUUGGAAGUAUUCCUCGGUUUAUAUUUUCUUCUCGUGUUAAUGAUCGAUUUUGUGAUUGCUGUGAUGGAAGUGAUGAAUAUGAUGGUAGUAUCAAUUGUCCAAACACAUGCGUCAUGGGUGGGAAUAUUGACUACAAGACUGGCAGUUAUGUCCCAACAAUUCGUAACAUGAGCUCUAUCAAUGAAAAAGAAACCAAAAGUGGAGUUAAUUUGGAGGACUUGAUUCAAAAGCUUCAAGGUCUGAAGGUAAUUAUAAUCCUACAGGCGGUUCUCAUUGGUUCAGUUGUGGUUUUCCGGAUUUUCCACCGCCGUGCCAGAUCCAAAAAAAGGCGCUUGCGUUGAGAAAUCCACCAACCACGUGUAGCUGACUGUUACGUUUUGGUGAGGAAAUAUUUUCCCGUUUUGCAAUUGACAUGAAUUCCGAUUAUCUUCUCCUGCUGUUUUGGGAAUACAUUCAGAUCCUAAGAGAUUCGACUGUUCUUAUUCCAAACCUGACAAGCUGCAGAGAUGAUUCCAGUGUCUGUUGCAUCCGUACAAGAACUUGCUGGUGGCCAACUAACCAUAUAAUGGAUGGAUAUCUGUGUCUGCUCCAGUGCAUAUUGGAAGGCAUGAAAAUUCAACUUUAACACAAUGGUAACAUACGGAGUUUUGAGUUCAAUAUCAUCCAGAGCGAGCCUACAUGAAUUUAUAGGAAGAAAAAGAACUGCCUUUCUUCGAUGAUAUUCAGAUAGGAAUGAUAGUACAGAGGGAACUUUGGGUUUGAAUGAUAGGAAUGAAUGGUAAAUUUUGAUCUUUAACCAAAUUGGUAGGUCCUUAACUUUCUCUGUUACUGGUAAAUUAUGAUAUUAACCACGUGGUAAGUCCUUAACCAA